UGCCCCCUCGUCUAACGGCAGGACAGCAGAUUUUGAUUCUGUUUAUCGAGGUUCGAAUCCUUGGGGGGCAA
rnacentral:tRNA from 1 species